rnacentral:tRNA from 1 species
GGAGAGUGGCGCGGAAAGGUCUGCAACCGGUCUCGAAAACCGGGCCGGGGUAAAACCCGAGGGUUCGAUUCCUUCACUCUCCGCCA